rnacentral:rRNA from 1 species
GAUGAACGCUGGCGGCGUGCCUAAUACAUGCAAGUCGAGCGAACAGACGAGGAGCUUGCUCCUCUGACGUUAGCGGCGGACGGGUGAGUAACACGUGGAUAACCUACCUAUAAGACUGGGAUAACUUCGGGAAACCGGAGCUAAUACCGGAUAAUAUAUUGAACCGCAUGGUUCAAUAGUGAAAGACGGUUUUGCUGUCACUUAUAGAUGGAUCCGCGCCGCAUUAGCUAGUUGGUAAGGUAACGGCUUACCAAGGCGACGAUGCGUAGCCGACCUGAGAGGGUGAUCGGCCACACUGGAACUGAGACACGGUACAGACUCCUACGGGAGGCAGCAGUAGGGAAUCUUCCGCAAUGGGCGAAAGCCUGACGGAGCAACGCCGCGUGAGUGAUGAAGGUCUUCGGAUCGUAAAACUCUGUUAUUAGGGAAGAACAAAUGUGUAAGUAACUAUGCACGUCUUGACGGUACCUAAUCAGAAAGCCACGGCUAACUACGUG